rnacentral:ncRNA from 1 species
GAAAAUGCAUGGAAGCGGAAGAGUAGCGAAUCACCGGCUUUAGCGAGUGGACUGUAUCGGUGCAAGGUCCGCGCCAGGUUUCGUGAAGGUCGCCGCCGAGCAGCCAGGGCGAACAGAGUAGUCUUGGACGUUUCCCGGCGUUAACGGGUCGAGUGCCGGAGUGAUCCGGAACAAAGGUGGUACCGCGACAUUGUCGUCCUUUUC